UGGGGAAUAUUGCACAAUGGAGGAAACUCUGAUGCAGCGACGUCGCGUGAACGAUGAAGGCUUUCGGGUCGUAAAGUUUUGUCCUUGGGGAAGAUUAUGACGGUACCCGAGGAGGAAGCCCCGGCUAACUACGUGCCAGCAGCCGCGGUAAUACGUAGGGGGCGAGCGUUGUCCGGAUUUAUUGGGCGUAAAGGGUUCGCAGGUGGCCUUUUAAGUCAGAUGUGAAAGAUCACAGCUCAACUGUGGUAAGCAUUUGAAACUGAAAGGCUUGAGUUAAGGAGAGGAAAGUGGAAUUCCUAGUGUAGCGGUGAAAUGCGUAGAUAUUAGGAGGAAUACCAGUGGCGAAGGCGACUUUCUGGACUUAUACUGACACUGAGGAACGAAAGCGUGGGGAGCAAACAGG
rnacentral:rRNA from 2 species